rnacentral:rRNA from 1 species
AGCGAACGUUAGCGGCGCGCCUAACACAUGCAAGUCGCACGAGAAACGGAGCAAUCCGCGGUACAGUGGCGCACGGGUGAGUAACACGUGGAUGACCUUCCCUGGAGUGGUGGAUAACCUGCCGAAAGGCGGGCUAAUACAGCAUGGGACCACGACGCUUUGGCGAUGUGGUGAAAGCGGGCCUCUAUAUAUAAGCUCGCGCUCCGGGACGGGUCCGCGUCCCAUCAGCUAGUUGGUGAGGUAACGGCUCACCAAGGCAACGACGGGUAGCUGGUCUGAGAGGAUGGCCAGCCACACUGGAACUGAGACACGGUCCAGACUCCUACGGGAGGCAGCAGUGGGGAAUCUUGCGCAAUGGGCGAAAGCCUGACGCAGCGACGCCGCGUGGGCGAAG